rnacentral:rRNA from 1 species
GAGUUUGAUCCUGGCUCAGGAUGAACGCUGGCGGCGUGCUUAACACAUGCAAGUCGAACGAACCUUCGGGUUAGUGGCGGACGGGUGAGUAACGCGUGGGAAUCUGCCCUCAGGAGGGGGAUAACGGUUGGAAACGACCGCUAAUACCCCAUAUGCCGAGAGGUGAAAUGAAUUUCGCCUGAGGAUGAGCCCGCGUCUGAUUAGCUUGUUGGUGAGGUAAUGGCUCACCAAGGCUUCGAUCAGUAGCUGGUCUGAGAGGAUGAUCAGCCACACUGGGACUGAGACACGGCCCAGACUCCUACGGGAGGCAGCAGUGGGGAAUUUUCCGCAAUGGGCGCAAGCCUGACGGAGCAACGCCGCGUGAGGGACGAAGGCCUCUGGGCUGUAAACCUCUUUUCUCAAGGAAGAAGAUAUGACGGUACUUGAGGAAUAAGCCACGGCUAAUUCCGUGCCAGCAGCCGCGGUAAUACGGGAGUGGCAAGCGUUAUCCGGAAUUAUUGGGCGUAAAGCGUCCGCAGGCGGCCUUUCAAGUCUGCUGUUAAAACGUGGAGCUCAACUCCAUCAUGGCAGUGGAAACUGAUCGGCUUGAGUAUGGUAGGGGCAGAGGGAAUUCCCGGUGUAGCGGUGAAAUGCGUAGAUAUCGGGAAGAACACCAGUGGCGAAGGCGCUCUGCUGGGCCAUUACUGACGCUCAUGGACGAAAGCCAGGGGAGCGAAAGGGAUUAGAUACCCCUGUAGUCCUGGCCGUAAACGAUGAACACUAGGUGUCGGGGGAAUCGACCCCUUCGGUGUCGUAGCUAACGCGUUAAGUGUUCCGCCUGGGGAGUACGCACGCAAGUGUGAAACUCAAAGGAAUUGACGGGGGCCCGCACAAGCGGUGGAGUAUGUGGUUUAAUUCGAUGCAACGCGAAGAACCUUACCAGGGCUUGACAUCCUGCGAACCUUUAAGAAAUUAGAGGGUGCCUUCGGGAACGCAGUGACAGGUGGUGCAUGGCUGUCGUCAGCUCGUGUCGUGAGAUGUUGGGUUAAAUCCCGCAACGAGCGCAACCCACGUUUUUAGUUGCCAGCAUUUAGUUGGGCACUCUAGAAAGACCGCCGGUGAUAAACCGGAGGAAGGUGUGGAUGACGUCAAGUCAUCAUGCCCCUUACAUCCUGGGCUACACACGUACUACAAUGCUACGGACAAAGGGCAGCAAACUCGCGAGAGCUAGCAAAUCCCAUAAACCGUGGCUCAGUUCAGAUCGUAGGCUGCAACUCGCCUACGUGAAGUAGGAAUCGCUAGUAAUCGCAGGUCAGCAUACUGCGGUGAAUACGUUCCCGGGCCUUGUACACACCGCCCGUCACACCAUGGAAGUUGGCCACGCCCGAAGUCGUUACUUUAACCCUUGUGGAGAAGGACGCCGAAGGUGGGGCUGAUGACUGGGGUGAAGUCGUAACAAGGUAACC